CCUGAAGUAAGGUUGUGCUAAUUUCGAUGGCGAUUUGUGUAGAAGAAACCUACGCUGCUCUUUAGCAGUUGUCUCACACUUUCUCAAAGUUCGUCUUUCGACGUACAAGUUUUCUCACGAAGAAUGCAUCUUUAACUACGAUGUUCAGGGGCUGUGAUUCAUGGCGCCUGCCCUUCUUCCUGACUCGGGCUCAUGUAGCUGCUGUGUGGCCCGUGUGUGCACGGAGUGGUCAGCACGUUCACUUCAGCGUCUCACUUUUUAGACUUGCCUGUCUUCGAGUGCGUCAGCCUUUCCGCGGAACGCGUCCACAAGCAGCGCGGCGGCGACUCUUGGCGGGCGGGGCCGAGAGACGGUAAAAGCAAAACGGCGGCGCUGUGCCAUUCUGCUCUCAGGAAGGACGACAGCGGCGGACGGUAAAAGCUCUUCUCCCGCGUGCCGCAUCGAUCAGCGGCGAGGGAGCGGUAAAUGCAGGGCCCCGUCGAUACGCUGACGCCAUCAGGCCUAAUGGGGUAAAAAAAAAAGACCCUUCUUCCCUGCCCAAACAGAUCAAUUGAGCUCUUCCAGCACUGCUGCUGCUUUUGCACCAUUUUUAUAACAUUUACAUCACAUUAGACAACAGAAAAUGAUGUUCAUGCUGACAAAGAAAGACAUUUUUGGUCCUUCUAUAGAAUACUAUUCGGAAUGUUCCAUACUGUAAGGUCCAAGUUUCCCGAUAUAAAGAGGGAAAGAGCAAGCUAAUGGAAAUGAUUAAAGUUCCAUUUAAAUUUGGCUUUAUUUAUUAUUCACUAGUUUGAAAGUUUUAACUUCUUGCGCUUAGUAGUAGUAAUAAACUUGAAACGUGAAGGGGGCACUUUAAAUCAAUGUUAAAGUACAGGUUGAAAGAGCUUGCAUCGAAUGGAAGACUAAAUUUAGAAAAGCAAGGAACUGCUAUAAUUGUACUAGCCCCACAUCCUGACCUCCAUUUGUUCUUAUGACCAUUAUUAUUCUCCGCUGUGUCCUGCGACCCUGGAGCGAUAUGAUUUAUCGAGUUCAUGAUCAGAUACAACUGAGUGAGGCGCAGGGAUUUCAUUUGCUUUAUGUGAGCAAACCCUGUGUAGGGCGGUCAACGUGCAGCAAGAUCCGGGCUGUACCACAAAACCCAUGCUCAUGUGACUGUCCAACCAUCCCAUUUGUGGAAGAUUAAAGGAAUGGCAAUUCAUUCAUUUGGUAGUCACUACAUAAGUGAAAUAAUACAUCCAGAGGAAAAUCAUGUCAUCUAGGUCAUCUAGGAGUUUUUCUUCUGCCUGUUGGCAAAAUGGAAGAAAAUGUCACAUAAAAGCUCUAUAAUUCAGUCUUCAACAAUAAUUUUUAUUACAAAAUUUAGUCUGGGUGCAGUGGUUGCCUUUGACCAGAGAAAGGCAGUGUGUAAAGCUGAUCUAAUGUCCCUACUGUGAGCCUGUAACUUUGAGGGAGGGAGGGUUGUUGACUAUUAUGGAUGCAAUGCAUGGAAUUGCAGGUUUGUGCCUGUUUGAUUCAACUGCAUUUGGCCAUUCUGAUCUCAGAAUCAGCCAGCAGCCAUACCACCAUGUUCCUGAAGCUAAGAAAUUGUGGGCUUGGUUAUUACUUGGAUGGGAGACAUAUUUUGAAAGCAAAGUUAAUGCUGGAAGUGGUGUUGGUAGGCCAGUAGGGGGCAAUCUUCCUUCUGGUCAAAUAAACCCAAUACCUCAGUGCAGUGAUGGGGAUGUUGUGCUGUAGGAGAUGCUGUCUAUCAGGUGAGAUGUUGAACCAAGGUCCUGACUCACUGUGGUCGUUAAAGCCCCCGUGACACUCAUUGCAAAUAGCAGGGGGUUCCUUGGUGUCCUGGCUAAAUUCCCAGCUUGGCUCGUUCAGCCUGAAACCUAAUCAUCCCACGAUUUAUUUGGCUAAAAAUAAGUUCUCUGCAUCUCCACCUCAGCAGAUGUGUGGUGAGUGUUCUGGUGUAAAAUGGUUCUUGUACACUGGUGGUGGGAUAGGUGAGUUCCCCCUCAUCGCUGUACAGCACUUUGAGCAUCUGGAAUAGUGCUAUAUAAACGCAAUGUUUAUUUCAUUCAUUCAUUCAUUCAUUCAUUCAUGAGUCCAGCCCCAGCUGUGGACAGGCAUAUCACUUUUCUCUUUUUUGUGUACAGCAGACUAAUCAAUGGGCAGGGGGACAUUCUGUUUCUGUAUUUACCAAUAGUAACUGAGUUGUACAAAAGCAUCAUUAGCAGACACAGAGGAAGUGAUGGUCUGACGUAGUAGUGAUGUCUGACUCUUAAAUACAGACCACAAUCUAAACUGUCUAGCCCCAAGCAGAAUCCCUCUGUACAACAGCCAGGUCAGAAUUGUAGGAAAGAUGUUGCUAAAGGCCACAGUGGCUUUGGGAAUCAGCACAGAAGUAGUAUAGUCCAGAGGCUAUUUUGAGUUUUCAACAGUGGAAACGUUACUAUAGCUCUCUUCAAAGGUUUACCAGCCAAGCGAUAAACAGGAAGCAAAGGCCCCAUUUUGCCCCUUGGUGUGAGAUAGGGGAAGGAGCUGUGUCAGUUGAGGACAGCUAAGGAGCCUAUUGAUUUGUAUUUGUUGUUGUGUUGUUGCUUUUUAGGAUUGUCGUCAACUUUUAUUUUGCUGACCUGGCAAAACCUGAAAAAAUAAAAGUGUCUGGUGACCAAACAGUCUGAUUGGCAUUAAAACGCUGCAGACAAGCAGCAUUCAUGCAAUCGAUGCAGAAAAGAUAUCAAUAACAGCAUUUUUGUUAAGUUCAGAUGGAUGUAUGGAUAUGCAUCAGCCAGAUCGGUUUAGAAAAAGUAAUGGAAAUGUUAUCUUUCUGAUUAUCAGGUGGUUGUGUUCGGUCUUUGAGUAAUGUGAAGUCACGGGUUUGAAUAUAGGAUGUCAAGUAGUUUAUAUGGUUGCUAUAGAUUAGCCUACCUUGCAGAAUUGCACUAAUGCAUCUGAAUCAAUAAAGUAUGAUAGAUCUAUAUUUAACUUCCAUCCAACCUUCAGCUGUCUUUACUUGGGAAUAUAGAUUCAUAACUUACCGUCAUAUUGGUUUGUUCAUCCAAUUAUUGUGAACUUUUAAUAGCAUUUAUGGCAGGGCAAUGUCAAUGCUGCUGUAAAAGGUUAUUUUAAAAACUUGUUACCUUUUUCUAAUGAAAUAAUAAAGGGAAAACCAGUGGAUGUUCAGAAGCAAACUAUUGCGAAGAAAAACAUUUACUUUCUUAUAACAUUACCUAAAUUCCAGGAAUGUUGUUCAUCAAACAGGAAUAUGUCUGCUGGACAUGAGUAAGUUAAUUAAUAACACCUUGUUUGUACAGAUGUUUAGAUUUCAUAAUUGAUGGUAAAAUGUUUGAUUUACAACAAUGAUAGACCCAUUAGACAGCUAUCUUAUGUUUUUUUUUUUUUAGGAAUUCCAGUUUUUUUUUAUGUUAACUGGAAAAAGGCUGGUAUUCUGGUAUGCAAAUAUUACAUCCAAAUGAGGUCUGAACAACUGAAAGUGCCUAAGUUCUAAAAUAUUAUGGAUUAGGAGGAUUGCAGGAGAAUAAAAAGAUAAGAAAAAUA